rnacentral:rRNA from 1 species
AAACCUUCGCAAUGCGCGCAAGCGCGACGAGGGGAACUCGAGUGCUAUUAUCCUUUUGGGUGAUAGCUUUUCUCGAUCCUAAAAAGAUCGGGGAAUAAAAGCUGGGUAAGACGGGUGCCAGCCGCCGCGGUAAUACCCGCAGCUCAAGUGGUGGCCACUAUUAUUGAGCCUAAAGCGUCCGUAGCCGGUCUUGUAAAUCUCUGGGUAAAUCCCAUCGCUCAACGGUGGGAAUACUGGAGAGACUGCAAGACUAGGGAUCGGGUGAGGUAAGAGGUACUCCUGGGGUAGGGGUAAAAUCCUGUAAUCCUGGGGGGACGACCGGUGGCGAAGGCGUCUUACUAGAACGACUCCGACGGUGAGGGACGAAGGCUAGGGGAGCAA